UAUGAAGUAACACAAGAAGAAGGAAGUUGAAAGAGUAACACAAGAAGAAGGAAUUUGAAAAGAGUAACACAAGAAGAGGGAAUUUGAAAAGAGGAACACAGAAGAAGGUAUUGAAAAGAGUAACACAGAAGAAUGUAUUGAAAAGAGUAACACAGAAGAAGGUAUUGAAAAGAGUUACACAGAAGAAGGUAUUGAAAAGAGUUACACAGAAGAAGGUAUUGAAAAGAGUAACACAGAAGAAGGUAUUGAAAAGAGUUACACAGAAGAAGGAAUUUGAAAAGAGUAACACAGAAGAAGGUAUUGAAAAGAGUAACACAGAAGAAGGUAUUGAAAAGAGUUACACAGAAGAAGGUAUUGAAAAGAGUAACACAGAAGAAGGUAUUGAAAAGAGUUACACAGAAGAAGGUAUUGAAAAGAGUAACACAGAAGAAGGUAUUGAAAAGAGUAACACAGAAGAAGGUAUUGAAAAGAGUUACACAGAAGAAGGUAUUGAAAAGAGUUACACAGAAGAAGGAAUUUGAAAAGAGUAACACAAGAAGAAGGAAUUUGAAGAGAAAUAACACAAGAAGAAGAAAUGUGAAGUAACACCAGAAGGAAAAUGCAGAGAAGUAACACUAGAAAAAUGAAAAUGGAAAUGAAAAGAAUCAUCCACCUUUCGGCCCAAACCAACAUCACAAAA